rnacentral:lncRNA from 1 species
UCAUCGGCAACUCCACUCCUCUCCCAAACUCUAUUCUCCAAAUUAUCUUUUAGCCAAAAAAAUCAAACAAAAUUACCAUAAGUUUAUUACUUCAUGAAGUAAAUAAGAUAUGAUCUUUGGUUUUUUAAUGGCUAUAAAUGUUUUCUUAUCCUCUUAUCUUAUCAACAACAUCUUAACAUAGAGACUAAUCAACAUUACAAACAAUUUUACUUCAAGAAACCAAAACAUGAGCCAAUCAUCACACAACCACAUUAAACCAAAACAAAACAAAAUAAAACUCCUUUUCUUCUCUGCAAAUUGCCAUCUGUUUUUCCUAUAGACCCAUUGUCCUCCUCUCAUUUCUCUCUUUCCCCAUUUAAUCUUAUUUUCAAAAAAAAAAAAAAUCACAUCUCUAUAUCACCACACAAAAAACCAUAAAAUCAAAAAUCGUUACCCACAUUUCUUUCAUUCUAUCCUAAAUCCUCAUCACUCAACCUGAGCUCACAAAGCUAAACAAAAAAAAAAGAGCUUAGGCGGAGAAGAAGAGGAGACCAAAACACCAAACAAACAACAAUGGCUGUCUCAACUAUCUACUCAACACAAGCUCUCAAUUCAACUCAUUUCUUAACCUCUUCUUCCUCCUCCAAACAAGUCUUCCUCUACCGUCGUCAACCACAAACCAACCGUAGAUUCAACACACUCAUCACUUGCGCACAAGAAACCAUCGUGAUCGGACUAGCUGCUGACUCUGGCUGCGGCAAAAGUACCUUUAUGCGGAGGCUCACCAGCGUCUUUGGUGGCGCUGCUAAGCCACCAAAAGGCGGGAACCCU